rnacentral:lncRNA from 1 species
CCAUUAGAGGGCCGCUCCUCAACAAGAUGGAAGAGGAUGCCCCAGUCACUGCCACCGAGACUGGAUCACCCGGAAUUAUAAAGAGAAAUGCAAGCUGCAGAAAAAUGUCAGUACACUGCCAUUUGUGUGGGUGAGGAAGAAAGAAUAGUACUGAAUAUAAAUGAAGCUUCCGAAGGGCUUGGACUCAGUACAGAUUAAGCAUGUUCAAAAUACUCAGGAGCAGCCUUCCUGCUGAAUUCCUCCUUUCCCUGCAUUACAGAGGAGCUUCCCCACCAUGUGCAAGAGGCAUAUCCCAGUGACUGCCACCAAGACUGGGUAGAUAAGCCUGUCUCCUUAUGAUGUUCACCGGAAACGAGUAACUUGGCUAAUAAACUUCAAGUCUUCCCUCAGGUGUCUAAAGAACCUCAGCUUCCCAAGGGAUCAAAUAUUGAUUGAUCCCUUAGGCCCUUGCUAUAAAUUCUCUGACUGGAAGGAACACACAGAGAGAACUUGGUGAGCAAUCGACCUGCACGGGUUGCAGGAAAAGAAUCUGGAGGCAACUCCACUGGAAACCAGCUGCCAUGUUGUGAAUUGCGCUAUGGAAAGACCCAUGUGGCACAGAACCGAGGUCUCUGGCCAGCAGCCCUCAAGGAAUCCUGCCAACAGCCAUGAGAGUAAGCUUGGAAGAGGAUCUUCCCUCAGUAGACCCUUGAGAAAAGGCCACAGACCUGGCUAACUCCUAGAUAGCAGCCUGUAAGAGAACCUGAGCUAGAAGCACUCAGCUAAGCCAUGUCUGGAUUCUUGACCUGCAGAAACUGUGAGAUAAUAAAUGUUCCUUAUUUUAAGCCACUAAGUUUUGAAGUAAUUUGUAAUACAGCAAUGGAAAACUCAUACAGUAACCAAUCAAAAAUGCCUUUCAGAAUCCUACAUUUUUUUGAAAAAUCUUUUCCUUCUUGCCCUAUAUAUGUCCUUCACGCUACAAGUCACUUUUUGGCCUUUAUUGUUCUUUAAAAGUCUACUAUUUUUCAGGCAAUAUGCUGGUCUAGAGAAUCAUUAUCACGAUUCCCA